rnacentral:rRNA from 1 species
UACGUAGGGCGCGAGCGUUAUCCGGAAUCAUUGGGCGGAAAGAGCUCGUAGGCGGUUCAGCAAGUCGGCUGUGAAAGUCCGAGGCUCAACCUCGGAAUUGCAGUCGAUACUGCUGUGACUCGGGUCCGGUAGAGGAGAACGGAAUUCCCGGUGUAGCGGUGAAAUGCGCAGAUAUCGGGAGGAACACCAGUAGCGAAGGCGGUUCUCUGGGCCGGCACUGACGCUGAGGAGCGAAAGCGUGGGGAGCGAACAGG